CCUCAGCGACAAUAUCUCCUCUGCCUCGUCCCUGCCCUCCUCGGCAACAUUUUCGCGUUUGCCUUGACCCUGCCCUCCUCAGCGACAAUCUCUCCUCUGCCUCAUCCCUGCCCUCCUCGGCGACAGUCUCUCCUCUGUCUCGUCCCUGCCCUCCUCGGCAACAUUUUCGCGUCCUCUGCCUCGUCCCUGCCCUCCUCGGCGACAAUCUCUCCUCUGCCUCGUCCCCGCCCCCGGGACAACCUUGUCUCUGCCUUGACCCUGUGGACCUCGGCGUCGCGGGUGUCGGCGGUGCUGUGGGAGUGGGCUCUGGCGAGCACCGAGGGUGAAGUGUUUGGAGCGGCGGCCCCCGGUGGCUCUCACCGCGGAGAGGGCUUUGGACCUGGUAGGUAGGUCCGUAUGCUGUUUUCAGGGCCUCAUAGAAUCCUCUGUGAUCACCCGUAUCUGCACAUAAUUGAAUUUUUCCCGCUAGACUGAUCCACCACUUGUUCUGGAUGUCACGGAGUUGCUGUGGGAGCUUGCUGCGUGCGAGACGAAAGGCGGCUUUUCUUACAUGACAGGAAGGCUGAGCGAGGUGUGCUCGGUGGGCAGUUCUCCCUCAACAAUUCCUGGAUCUCUUAAUUCAUCAAACCAGCCCGUGUUCUUCUUGAAGGAGAAAAGUUUAGUAGAGGACUGCAGGAUGCAGUUACUGGACGGCGAUCGUGCCGCGCCGGGAGAGAAGGAGAACGACGAACAGCGCCGGGCGAGAACGAGAACGAACAGCGCCCUGCUCGCCUGCACAGCGAUCGUGCCGCGCCGGGAGAGAAGGAGAACGACGAACAGCGCCGGGCGAGAACGAGAACGAACAGCGCCCUGCUCGCCUGCACAGCGAUCGUGCCGCGCCGGGAGAGAAGGAGAACGACGAACAGCGCCGGGCGAGAACGAGAACGAACAGCGCCCUGCUCGCCUGCACAGCGAUCAGAGCGCCCCGGGCGAGAACGAGAACGAACCGCGCCCGGCUGCCCGGCGAUCGGAGCGCGCCGGGCUUUCUUCCUACGCUCCUCUCAUUGGCCGGAGCUGGUCAGCGCGUCAUGUUGCUCCCGCCCCUUCUGCCUGA
rnacentral:lncRNA from 1 species